UUUAUAGGCAAAAAAAAUAAAUACUUUUAGCACUCGGGAAUAUGAUAUUUCUAUGGCUCCGUAUAAAACCAACCCAAGAGAGAAAAGCUCUAGUUACUGAGCACCAGAGUCUGCUGGGCACGUAUCGUUAUGAUUUUAAAUUAUUGAAAUAUCUUGUUUAUACCACAGCCAUAGAAAGGCUAGAACAACUCAUUAGAGCGUAAAUGGUAAAGGUGACUGUACACAAAAUGCGUAUUGCGUUAACGUGCGUAAAUCGCAUCCGAAAACGGACCGACACCGAACCAUCCGUUAGGUUUGAAAAAUGUUCAAAACUGAAUAUUAUUGCUGAAAAUUGUUGAAGUUUGUGAUGCACCCUUGUAGGCCUAUACCCUUUUGCACUGGUGCACCCCUGGCAUAUUUUGGUACACCCUAGGGUGCACUGUGCACACCGGUUGAACAGCACUGUUCUAUACAAUAACAUACUGUACAUACUAUCGAAAUGGGGAGCGCAAAAAUCAGCCUUGCUUGCUAUUUACCGAGCUUCGAUACGUCCCGUCAUUGGAUAUGAAAUCGAAGCAUAUUUCUCUGCAUCUCAGUCCAACAGAAGCGUAACACAAACCGUACAAAACAAACGUUUGCGCAUUGCCACUGGAAGUAUGAUCAUCACACCGAUUGUAUGUUUGCAAGCAUUGUGCCAGGAACCACCAGUUUACAUUCGAUAACAGAACGCUUGUCUAAAAUACAAGUUCAAGCUUCUAUCAUUCCCACUAGACCCUCAAAAUUCGAGCACACUACUACAGGCACCGACUAGGUCAUCUUCAUUUCUACAAGUUACAAAGGGAUUCUCAACCGAAACACGCGUCGGUAUCAUUCAACCGUUCACUUCGCCAAUGUGGGAAGUCACUGAAGAAUUCUGUUACACCUCUUCAGCGUCGCUUGGAGACAGUAACAUACCCAGCAACCAAAAACAAAGUAUCUUCGUCGAGAGGAUUGCAACUUACUACCAAGAAUAUACGCAAGUAUACUGCGAUGGUUCAAAACAAGUAUCUGGAUGUUCAUUUGUAAUACAAAGUUAAGGCUGCACAUCGUCGACUUCUCUACACAAGUGGUACUCUGCGUAUUCAUGUGAAUUAUUAGCAAUCUCGAUGACAUUGAAACAUGUAAGCUAUAAAGAACCACAUAUGUCCUCCUACGUCAUUAUCAGUGACUGUCUGAAUGUAUUCACAUCCACUGCACAACACAUCCACCCUACUAUAUGCUCAUUAAAAGACGUGUGCAUUUAUUUGAUUCUUGCUCUCUUGAUUUUUUUUGUUUUUUUUUAAAUCGGUCGUGCCCGCUUAUCAGAACCCAAGUAUUUUACUUUGCGGAUAACAUUUUCUGUAUGGCCGAAAUUUUGGGCAACCCUCUAGUGAAACCUAUGGGUUGGAGCAA